UGAACGCUGGCGGAAUGCUUUACACAUGCAAGUCGAACGGUAGAGGGGGCAACCCCUUGAGAGUGGCGAACGGGUGAGUAAUAUAUCGGAACGUGCCCAGUCGUGGGGGAUAACGUAGUGAAAAUUACGCUAAUACCGCAUACGAUCUAAGGAUGAAAGCGGCGGACCGCAAGGCGUCGCGCGGAUGGAUGAGCCGAUAUCCGAUUAGCUAGUUGGCGGGGUAAAGGCCCACCAAGGCGACGAUCGGUAGCUGGUCUGAGAGGAUGAUCAGCCACACUGGAACUGAGACACGGUCCAGACUCCUACGGGAGGCAGCAGUGGGGAAUAUUGGACAAUGGGGGAAACCCUGAUCCAGCGACGCCGCGUGGGUGAAGAAGGCCUGCGGGUUGUAAAGCCCUUUCGGUAGGGACGAAAGCUCUCGACCUAACACGUCGGGAGGUUGACUUAACCUACAAAAGAAGCACCGGCUAACUCUGUGCCAGCAGCCGCUGUAAUCUGAUG
rnacentral:rRNA from 1 species